CUUGAGAAACAUACUGAAACCUCACUAUCACUGAAGAGACAAAACCACUGGCAAAAUGAUGGACCAUAUUUGGCUUCAAAUCCUCUCUCUUGCAGGACUCCUGUCAUUAACUCUGUGUAAACCACAAGAGUAUAUUCUGUACAAGCAGAUAAAGACGUGGGAAAAUGCACAGAAUUACUGCAGGACACACCAUAU